rnacentral:rRNA from 1 species
UUUAAAUUGAGAGUUUGAUCCUGGCUCAGGAUGAACGCUGGCGGCGUGCCUAAUACAUGCAAGUCGUACGCUAGCCGCUGAAUUGAUCCUUCGGGUGAAGUGAGGCAAUGACUAGAGUGGCGAACUGGUGAGUAACACGUAAGAAACCUGCCCUUUAGUGGGGGAUAACAUUUGGAAACAGAUGCUAAUACCGCGUAACAACAAAUCACACAUGUGAUCUGUUUGAAAGGUCCUUUUGGAUCGCUAGAGGAUGGUCUUGCGGCGUAUUAGCUUGUUGGUAGGGUAGAAGCCUACCAAAGCAAUGAUGCGUAGCCGAGUUGAGAGACUGGCCGGCCACAUUGGGACUGAGACACUGCCCAAACUCCUACGGGAGGCUGCAGUAGGGAAUUUUCCGCAAUGCACGAAAGUGUGACGGAGCGACGCCGCGUGUGUGAUGAAGGCUUUCGGGUCGUAAAGCACUGUUGUAAGGGAAGAAUAACUGAAUUCAGAGAAAGUUUUCAGCUUGACGGUACCUUACCAGAAAGGGAUGGCUAAAUACGUGCCAGCAGCCGCGGUAAUACGUAUGUCCCGAGCGUUAUCCGGAUUUAUUGGGCGUAAAGCGAGCGCAGACGGUUUAUUAAGUCUGAUGUGAAAUCCCGAGGCCCAACCUCGGAACUGCAUUGGAAACUGAUUUAUUUGAGUGCGAUAGAGGCAAGUG